rnacentral:rRNA from 1 species
UUUGAAAUCUGGCCCUUUCAGGGUCCGAGUUGUAAUUUGCAGAGGGCGCUUUGGUGUCGGCAGCAGCCUAAGUUCCUUGGAACAGGUCAUCAUAGAGGGUGAGAAUCCCGUAUGUGGCUGCUUGUCUUCACCGUGUAAAGCCCCUUCGAUGAGUCGAGUUGUUUGGGAAUGCAGCUCUAAAUGGGAGGUAAAUUUCUUCUAAAGCUAAAUAUUGGCCAGAGACCGAUAGCGCACAAGUAGAGUGAUCGAAAGAUGAAAAGCACUUUGGAAAGAGAGUCAAAAAGCACGUGAAAUUGUUGAAAGGGAAGCGCUUGCAGCCAGACGUGCCCGUAGUCGCUCAAAUGAGGAAUUUCUUCUUUGUACUCUUCUAUGGGCAGGCCAGCAUCAGUUCGGGCGGUUGGAUAAAGACCUGCGUCAUGUGUCUCUCUUCGGGGAGUGUUAUAGGGCAGGUGGAAUACAAUCAGCCUGGACUGAGGUCCGCGCAUCUGCUAGGAUGCUGGCGUAAUGGCUGUAAGCGGCCCGUCUUGAAACACGGACCAAGGAGUCUAACAUCUAUGCGAGUGUUUGGGUGUCAAGCCCGAGCGCGUAAUGAAAGUGAACGGAGGUGGGAACCCCUCGGGGUGCACCAUCGACCGAUCCUGAUGUCUUCGGAUGGAUUUGAGUAAGAGCAUAGCUGUUGGGACCCGAAAGAUGGUGAACUAUGCCUGAAUAGGGUGAAGCCAGAGGAAACUCUGGUGGAGGCUCGCAGCGGUUCUGACGUGCAAAUCGAUCGUCAA